rnacentral:rRNA from 1 species
CCUACGGGAGGCAGCAGUGGGGAAUAUUGCGCAAUGGGCGAAAGCCUGACGCAGCGACGCCGCGUGAGGGAUGAAGGUCUUCGGAUCGUAAACCUCUGUCAGCAGGGAAGAACGGUCACUGGGCUAAACAGCAGUGAAUGGACGGUACCUGCAAAGGAAGCACGGGCUAACUCCGUGCCAGCAGCCGCGGUAAUACGGAGGGUGCGAGCGUUAAUCGGAAUUACUGGGCGUAAAGCGCUCGUAGGCGGUAUGUCAAGUCAAGGGUGAAAUCCCCGCGCUCCACGUGGGAACUGCCUUUGAAACUGGCAACCUGGAGUGUGUGAGAGGCUAGUGGCAUUCCAGGUGUCGGCG